rnacentral:RNase_P_RNA from 1 species
GCGGUUACUUUUUAAUGAUAAAGAGUGGCCGUGAGGUAAAGUCCGGGCUCCUUCGGAAAAAAUGCCGGGUAAUGACCGGGCGUGUAUUGCCGGAUUAAACGGUUUUACAUGACAGAGAGUGCAACAGAAAACAUACCGCGCGAUAAGCGUAAGGGUGAAAAGGCAGUGUAAGAGACUACCGCGUUUUCGGUAACGUAAACGGCAGUGCAAACCUCAUUUGGAGCAAGGUCAAGCAGAAGUUUGAUUUUCCGAUCUUAUACUUCGGGUAGACCGCUAAAGCCGGGGAGUAAUCUUUCGGCUCGGAUAGAUGGUUAUGAUGCCGGUUUUACGGCAUUGACAGAACCCGGCUUAUUGUCCCGCCUGU